rnacentral:rRNA from 1 species
UACAGAGGGUGCAAGCGUUAAUCGGAUUUACUGGGCGUAAAGGGCGCGUAGGCGGCGCGGUAAGUCACUUGUGAAAUCUCUGAGCUUAACUCAGAACGGCCAAGUGAUACUGCAGUGCUAGAGUGUGGAAGGGGCAAUCGGAAUUCUUGGUGUAGCGGUGAAAUGCGUAGAUAUCAAGAGGAACACCUGAGGUGAAGACGGAUUGCUGGGCCAACACUGACGCUGAGGCGCGAAAGCCAGGGGAGCAAACGGG